rnacentral:misc_RNA from 1 species
GAUGAAGAACGUAGCGAAAUGCGAUAAGUAAUGCGAAUUGCAGAAUUUCCGUGAGUCAUCGAAUCUUUGAACGCACAUUGCGCCCACUGGAAUUCCGGUGGGCAUGCCUGUUCGAGCGUCAUUGCUGCCCUCAAGCACGGCUUGUGUGUUGGGCCUCCGUCCUCCUCCCGGGGGACGGGCCCGGAAGGCAGCGGCGGCACCGCGUCCGGUCCUCGAGCGUAUGGGGCUUCGUCACCCGCUCUUGUAGGCCCGGCCGGCGCUUGCCGACACAUCAAUCUUUUUUCCAGGUUGACCUCGGAUCAGGUAGGGAUACCCGCUGAACUUAAGCAUAUCAAUAAGCGGAGGA